rnacentral:rRNA from 1 species
UACGUAGGGCGCAAGCGUUGUCCGGAAUUAUUGGGCGUAAAGAGCUCUUAGGCGGUCUGUCACGUCGGAUGUGAAAGCCCGGGGCUUAACCCCGGGUCUGCAUUCGAUACGGGCAGACUAGAGUGUGGUAGGGGAGAUCGGAAUUCCUGGUGUAGCGGUGAAAUGCGCAGAUAUCAGGAGGAACACCGGUGGCGAAGGCGGAUCUCUGGGCCAUUACUGACGCUGAGGAGCGAAAGCGUGGGGAGCGAACAGG